rnacentral:rRNA from 1 species
UACGUAGGGAGCAAGCGUUAUCCGGAUUUACUGGGUGUAAAGGGCGCGUAGGCGGGGAUGCAAGUCAGAUGUGAAAUCCCGAGGCUCAACCUCGGAACUGCAUUUGAAACUGUAUUUCUUGAGUGAUGGAGAGGCAGGCGGAAUUCCUAGUGUAGCGGUGAAAUGCGUAGAUAUUAGGAGGAACACCAGUGGCGAAGGCGGCCUGCUGGACAUUAACUGACGCUGAGGCGCGAAAGCGUG